rnacentral:rRNA from 1 species
AUGUUUAGCCGCAACAACAGGCUUGAUUACCAAUUGUUCUUCCGCAGUAGAGGUGCUUUCAGAUCUCUUGGCUCAAAUGAGCUGAUCUUGCUCAUAUGCUUCUUCAAUGUUCUGAUGGGCAUAAUUGAUAUAUGGGGCAAUCAUGAAAUAAUAGUGAUACUAACUUUGUCGGUGGGAAUAAUUGUGAUCGGUCCAAUUCUAUGUCCAGAAGCUGCAAUUCCACCCAUGUGUGAUCCGCUACGCGGUGCGAUCUCAUUAUGGUGCCCAAUGGUUGCAAUCCUACUGCUUUGUCCCUCUGUACUGCAUAGGGUCUAUGAAAAUUUCAACAGUCAAAGACUUGGCUCAAUUGCCUACUGCACAGUGUACUUGCUAAUAUUUGUGGUGGUGCUCCUACUCACAAUCAGCAGGCUGCGGUUCCCAGGUAUCGUCAAACUAGCAGACUGUGUUCUUGGCAGCAAAAUAGCACUUUGGCAUCGAUUUAUUCUGAACUCGUGCUUGUUUGCUGCGUCAAUGAUUUGUGUUCGAAGCUUUAACCUUGCGAUGGUCAUAAUUGCUCUAAUGAUAGCGCCAUUGGGCAACCUCCAGAUUCCAGCAGCAGCAUUGCGCAUUGGGCUGGCAGUGUGGCGCCUUAUAGUCAUACGACAGGACUACAAGCAAAACCUUGAGAGCAAGGCAAACCUUGAGCCAUCUCUCAUCAUCUUUUAUGUGAUGGUGCUUGGACAAGGAUUACUCUACAUUGUUGCCGCCACCCUUGAGAUGUUUUCAUUCAUCUUACGAAGAUCCCUGAUCCAUCGUGUUGGGUUUAGAGGUCCCUCUGAAGUGCAAUAUGUCAAUUUGUAUUAUGCAUAUGCCUUCGAUAGAUGCAUGGAAGGUUCUAUGCUUGCUCCAAAGAAGACCAGCCUCAUCAUAUUUGCAAUGGAUUCUUUGAAGUCAGACUCACCCAAGAUGCAACUCUAUGGGCUUAAGAUGCUACACAAAUUUCUGAAAAAGGAGCCCCUAAAGACUAAAGCCACGUUAGAACUCACCACUUACACAAAGACAGUGACUUGCUUGAUCAGCAUGUUGGGCUGGACAAGUGAAGUGGAUAGAGAUAUUAGAACAUUUGCUGCGAAAGUCACGGCCGAGCUCGCUGAUAACCUUAGAGUUGUCCAAAUACCUGGGGCAGUGCAACUCAUAGCCUCACUUUUGGACACUAUUCACAGAGAGAAUAUAAAGAAUCCGUUUUUGGACAUUGGUAGCCCUGAGCCAAAACAAGACAACCUGAUUCAACGAGUUAGCAGGAACAAACAGACAUCCUCGCUGCUUAAAUGGUUGAAACAGAUGGCUGUUUACUGUUUGAUUCCAAGAGAGGAGCCAACAACUUCCAUGGACGAACAAAACACCCAUAUACUCGGAUACUGGAGACAGACUACAGAACGUCCAUCUGUUCUAGAGGAGGAGCUAUUGACCGGCCAGGAUCUUCUCUCUGUACAUGGCAUGUUCAUUCUUCAAAAGCUUGCUAGCUUUGAUCUGGAGAAUGGUAUAGAAAUCAGUAGAGCGACUGGCCUCAUCUCAAAGAUUAUAGAGUUCACAAGCAACAUAACUGUCAUGACAAAUAUUAGUGAGACACACAAGACACUGCUGAAACUUUCAUCUCUGAAGUUGCUGGCAAGACUUUCAAGUACUAAAGGGAGAUUUGGUGUAACUUUGCGUCAGAAUAUUACAGAACAUCCCUUCAUUUUGAGCAACCUUGCAGAGAUCUUGGACAAUAGAGGGAGCAGUCAUGAACUUAGGGAGCUCACAGCAGAACUCCUUAGAAACCUUGCCAUGGAGGAAAAUGUGAAGGAGGAGAUCGGACAGAUCCCCGUGAUCAUUAGCAGGUUGAUGGAUGCAUUUCUCAGCCAAGGUACACCCUCAAGUGCAGAUUCAGAUCACUUGCUACGAAUGAUCUCCGGGCAAGCAUUGGCAGUACUGGCAAUGGAGAGUGCCAACAACUGCUUGAUUAUGUUAGCAGAACCAGGGUACAUGUUUAUCAAGGAACUAAAACUUAUGAUCCAUAGUGACAAGUACAGGUAUGUAGCAUCAAGCCUGUUGCGGAAUAUGUGUGUGCAUGCUCGAUCUGAGCUUCGCAACUCUGACCUGAAGGAAAUUUCCUACAUUCUGAGAGAGGUGCUGGAAGGAAUAAUGGAUGCAGAAGGGACAGAACUGGAGGUCCUUGUUGGUCUUAGUUCACAAAUAUGUAAUGCCACUCCUGACGAUUUUGCACGAGAACUAGAGCAUGGUCAUGUUAAGGAUAGGUUUAUAAAGAGGCUUGUCCAUGCACUUAACUCAAAUAUGAUACCCACUGCUCAUUGUCCUGGCAUCAGGAGGGUGAUAGUUGAACAUGCCAUAUACAUGAUGGAAUCCAAUCUGGUCUAUACUACCUGUUUCAAGAAUUGUCGGAUGAUGGAAGCACUGCUAAUGGUAGAGCGUAAACCUUCAAGGGCUGAAAACUACAGGUUCUUCUUGGGUGAUGCAGGACUCAUGAAGCACAGCAUACCUCUAUCCGCUCUUGUGGCUAGAGCAAAAGAGCUGAUGGGCCAUUAG